UUUAAAUCACAAAAUAUUGACAUUAUUGUAGAAUAUCUCUGAAAUAUUCAGAAUUUGAACCCUUAAAAUUUGCACUGUAGUGCAGUUGCCUAAAUCUUAUUUUAUUAUGUUGAUAUUUCUUGAAUCUAGUUGCCUUUGGGAUACAGUAAUUGCCCUGACCUUUAAGUAUUUUAGAUAUGGCUAAAUGUAAGGGAUAGUGUCUUAGCCCCUUAGAAGUGCACCUUCUAGUCUGUUGACUUGUCCCAUGAGUAAUUUUGCCAUUCUUCCCAUCCUGGUCUUGUUUCCAGGCUUAAUAUAUAAGUGAAUAAAACGCUGGAAACUAUCACGUGUAUUUUAUCUCAGGGGAGGAUAAAUGUAUGUGAUGUUUUCACCUCUUUGUGCAGCUCUGUUCAGCAGUAACUGCUUGGGUACCUGCAGACUGGCCUCGUUUGGUAUCAGCAAAACUCCGUUUGCUGAGCUUUCAUAACCAUUAUUACAGGGUUUCCUGGUUCUGAUUGAAGUGUACAAUUACUUAACCAAGUCUUGAAUCCCACUCCUUUUAAACUUUGUUUUAUUAUUAAAUUAUCUUUCAUUGUCAUUAAACAAAAAUACAUGCAAAAUGGAGCCUGCUCAGACCUUUAUGGAAAUUUUAUCUUACUUGCUUUAUUUCAAGUUUAUUUUAUUAUGUAACAUGUGGCAUGAUGAUAACUUUAUUUUCUGAAAAUGCCAUUGGUUGAUGAGGUAUGUAUUUGCAUGAUAAUCAAGAUUAUUUAAAUGUGGAGGAGAAUAUAGGAUAUCAUUGGAAUUAAAAAUUUUCAAACUCCAUGUGUAUGUACGAUUUUGCAUGUUUUAACUUGACAUGUUGCUCUAUAUAGACAAGAAUAGGACUUCAUGUGUUACUCAUCAGCAGUUAUGAUAGCUGUAGCUUUCUGUUGGAGUUUUUCUGCAAUAAUCUUAUACUGACCUCUAGUGUCAACGUUUCUGGAGGCUGUCUUUUACAGGUUUGAGCACGGGGUAUAAAUUGGAUCGCUUACUUUCAUUGAGGCUUUCAUUUAUCUGCUUUAUGGUCUUGGGCAUGUUUCUUGAGCCAGGCAAUUUAGUUGGCAAGAUUCCAUUUUGCAUGAGGUUGUCUUUCCUUGCCCUUCAAAAAUAUUUUCAAAUUGCAGAUGAAGGGCUCUUAACACACAGACCCUGUUUAAGCUCUUAACACACAGACCUUGUUUAAGAUAAAGAUUAUACUAUAGCAGUGUUUUGCUUAAGGCUUUUGGGCAGGAAAAUAACCACAAUGCCACCACCACCAAAAGUAGAGGUACCUUUAAAGUUGUAAUUAAGGCUUUGGUGUAUAUUAUAACCCUGAUAGUUUACAACCUAAAUGCAAAAAGACAGCUUUCAAGGGAGGUUCUACUUGGCGUAAGGUGGACAGAAUCAAGCUGCCUCUCAAGUCUCAUUUUGUGGAGGUGAG